GGGUAGCCUGCCCCACAGCGAGUGAUAACAUUUGCAAACAGAUGCUGAUACCGCUUAUCCACAUAGAAACCAUAUGGUAUUCUGUGUCAUCUAUGGUUUCGCCUAUCAUCUUGGGAUGGACCCGCGGCGAAUUACCUAUUUGGGGAGGAACUGCCUUGCCAAGGCACUGAUACGUACCCGAACUGAGAGAUUGAUCGCCCACAUUGGGACUGAGACACGGCCCAAACUCCUACGGGAGGCAGCCGUAGGAAAUCUUCCACAAUGGACGAAAGUCUGAUGGAGCACCCCCCCGUGAUUGAAGAAGGUUUUCGGUUCGAAAAACUCUGUUAUCGGAAAAGAACGUGUGUGACAGUAACUGGUCGUGCAAUGACGGUAUCUGAUCAGAAAGCCACGGCUAACUACGUGCCAGCAGCCGCGGUAAUACGUAGGUGGCAAGCGUUGUCCGGAUUUAUUGGGCGUAAAGGGAGUGCAGGCGGCAUUUUAAGUCUGAUGUGAAAGCCCUCGGCUUAACCCAAGAAGGGCAUCGGAAAUAGGGAGACUUGAGUGCAGAAAAGAACAGAGAAUCUCUAUGUGUGUCGUGGAAAUGCGUAAAUAUAUGAAAGAACA
rnacentral:rRNA from 1 species